rnacentral:rRNA from 1 species
GAUGAACGCUGGCGGCGUGCCUAAUACAUACAAGUCGUACGGAAAGGCCCUUCGGGGUACUCGAGUGGCGGACGGCUGAGUAACGCGUGGGAACGUGCCCCAAAGUGAGGGAUAACGCACCGAAAGGUGUGCUAAUACCGCAUAUGGUCUUCGGAUUAAAGCUUCGGCGCUUUGGGAGUGGCCCGCGUACGAUUAGAUAGUUGGUGAGGUAAUGGCUCACCAAGUCGACGAUCGUUAGCUGGUCUGAGAGGAUGAUCAGCCAGACUGGGACUGAGACACGGCCCAGACUCCUACGGGAGGCAGCAGUAAGGAAUCUUCCACAAUGGGGGCAACCCUGAUGGAGCAACGCCGCGUGCAGGAUGAAGGUUUUCGGAUCGUAAACUGCUUUUAUAAGUGAAGAAUAUGACGGUAGAUGAUGAAUAAGGAUCGGCUAACUACGUGCCAGCCGCCGCCGUAA